GAUGAACGCUGGCGGCGUGCCUAAUACAUGCAAGUCGAGCGAACAGACGAGGAGCUUGCUCCUCUGACGUUAGCGGCGGACGGGUGAGUAACACGUGGAUAACCUACCUAUAAGACUGGGAUAACUUCGGGAAACCGGAGCUAAUACCGGAUAAUAUAUUGAACCGCAUGGUUCAAUAGUGAAAGACGGUUGUGCUGUCACGUAUAGAGGGAUCCGCGCCGCAUUAGCUAGUUGGUAAGGUAACGGCUUACCAAGGCAAGGAUGCGUAGCCGAACUGAGAGGGUGAUCGGCCACCCGAGAACUGAGACACGCUCCAGACUCCUGCGGGAGGGAGCAGUAGGGAAUCUUCCGCAAUGGUCGAGAGCCUGACGCAGCAAGGCCGCGUGAGUGAUGAAGGUCUUCGGAUCGUAAAACUCUGUUAUUAGGGAAGAACAAAUGUGUCAGUAACUAUGCACGUCUUGACGGUAACUAAUCAGAAAGCAACGGCUAACUACGUG
rnacentral:rRNA from 1 species